AGAUUGAACGCUGGCGGCAUGCCUAACACAUGCAAGUCGAACGGGAGUAGCAAUACUCUAGUGGCGGACGGGUGAGGAAUACGUAGGAAUUUGCCCUUAAGUGGGGGAUAACCCGGGGAAACCCGGAUUAAUACCGCAUGACCUCGAAAGAGCAAAGUGGGGGAUCGCAAGACCUCACGCUUUUGGAGAAGCCUACGUCGGAUUAGCUAGUUGGUGAGGUAAUGGCUCACCAAGGCGACGAUCCGUAACUGGUCUGAGAGGAUGAUCAGUCACACCGGAACUGAGACACGGUCCGGACUCCGUACGGGAGGCAGCAGUGGGGAAUAGUUGCGCAAUGG
rnacentral:rRNA from 1 species